rnacentral:rRNA from 1 species
UGGGGAAUUUUGGACAAUGGGCGCAAGCCUGAUCCAGCCAUGCCGCGUGCGGGAAGAAGGCCUUCGGGUUGUAAACCGCUUUUGUCAGGGAAGAAACCUUCUGAGUUAAUACCUCGGGAGGAUGACGGUACCUGAAGAAUAAGCACCGGCUAACUACGUGCCAGCAGCCGCGGUAAUACGUAGGGUGCAAGCGUUAAUCGGAAUUACUGGGCGUAAAGCGUGCGCAGGCGGUUUUGUAAGACAGAGGUGAAAUCCCCGGGCUCAACCUGGGAACUGCCUUUGUGACUGCAAGGCUUGAGUGCGGCAGAGGGGGAUGGAAUUCCGCGUGUAGCAGUGAAAUGCGUAGAUAUGCGGAGGAACACCGAUGGC